rnacentral:lncRNA from 11 species
UUUUUGUUGCCGACAAUAGUAAUUGCAUUGCCGAUAAAAGAACAAGUGCUUCGUGACUUUGGGGAACACCUACGACGCAAACUUCCUCAACACCCGGUACCUGCAUUAUAAGUUCUUCCAGCUCCGAAGGGGACACCGGGUCGAUAUACUUGAAUAUCUCACUUUUCCGAUCGACUAUGUAUAGAUAGCCGUCCUCAUCGAAGUAUCCCACAUCACCGGUCUGGAACCAUCCAUCCUCGUCGAGCACUGAUUCGGUAGCUUCUGCGUUUCUGUAAUAACC